AUUGAACGCUGGCGGCAUGCCUUACACAUGCAAGUCGAACGGCAGCACGGGUGCUUGCACCUGGUGGCGAGUGGCGAACGGGUGAGUAAUAUAUCGGAACGUACCUUAUCGUGGGGGAUAACGCAGCGAAAGCUGUGCUAAUACCGCAUAAGCCCUAAGGGGGAAAGCAGGGGACCGUAAGGCCUUGCGCGAUUAGAGCGGCCGAUACCUGAUUAGCUAGUUGGUGAGGUAAAGGCUCACCAAGGCAACGAUCAGUAGCUGGUCUGAGAGGACGAUCAGCCACACUGGGACUGAGACACGGCCCAGACUCCUACGGGAGGCAGCAGUGGGGAAUUUUGGACAAUGGGGGCAACCCUGAUCCAGCAAUGCCGCGUGAGUGAAGAAGGCCUUCGGGUUGUAAAGCUCUUUUGUCAGGGAAGAAACAGCAGCUCUAAUACAGUAUGCGAAUGACGGUACCUGAAGAAUAAGCACCGGCUAACUACGUGCCAGCCGCCGCCGUAA
rnacentral:rRNA from 1 species